rnacentral:rRNA from 1 species
CAGCAGCCGCGGUAAUACGUAGGUGACAAGCGUUGUCCGGAUUUACUGGGCGUAAAGAGCGCGCAGGCGGUCGAUCAAGUCGAGUGUGAAAGCCCCCGGCUCAACUGGGGAGGGUCAUUCGAUACUGAUCGACUCGAAGGCAGGAGAGGGUAGUGGAAUUCCCGGUGUAGUGGUGAAAUGCGUAGAUAUCGGGAGGAACACCAGUGGCGAAGGCGACUACCUGGCCUGUUCUUGACGCUGAGGCGCGAAAGCUAGGGGGGCAAACGGGAUUAGAUACCCCGGUAGUCCUAGCCGUAAACGAUGGACACUAGGUGUUGGUGGUAUCAACCCCGCCAGUGCCGAAGCUAACGCAUUAAGUGUCCCGCCUGGGGAGUACGGCCGCAAGGCUAAAACUCAAAGGAAUUGACGG